CGCGUAGGCGGCUGACCAAGUCCGGGGUGAAAUCCUGCAGCUUAACUGUAGAAGUGCCUUGGAUACUGGUCGGCUCGAGGGAGGUAGGGGUCUGUGGAACUGCUGGUGGAGCGGUGAAAUGCGUUGAUAUCAGCAGGAACGCCGGUGGCGAAAGCGACGGACUGGAUCUCUUCUGACGCUGGAGGCGCGAAAGGCUAGGGAGCAAACG
rnacentral:rRNA from 1 species